ACGCCGUUGGUGAAAUGGUUAUCAUGCUUGCCUUCCAUAAGCAAGCGGCGGGGGUUCGAUUCCCUCACGGCGUA
rnacentral:tRNA from 1 species